GGAGGUGAGGGCAAUCUGACUGGGACAUUUGUCCCCCAAGUGACUGCCAGGGUUCACUCAGCUGAUCAGAUUGGCCAGGCAGGUGUUACCACGUCAUACACAUCCUUUUGAAAACUGCAUGUACAAAGAGUGCAAUCUUCCCUGCUCUUCAAUCAAGGUUUAUGAGUAGCUGUGCUCCCCUGCUAGAACCUCCAAAUAAAGACAUAAUUGAAUUUAGCAGCAACUGUACAUAACUGAGAUUUCUAGACUAUUU
rnacentral:snRNA from 1 species